GAACAUGGAGGCUGAACAUGGAGGCAAUCCAAACACGAGCUAAACGUCAUGUUAUUUGGGCCACGUUUAUAUAAAAGUCUCCACACGAGACGUCAGGUGUGUUUUGUCUUGCUGUAGAUAAUUAUUCCUGUAAAGCAAAUGUCUUCAUUCGAGGCAGUGCCCGUGGCUUUAGAACUGAGACGUACAUACACCCUGUUACUAUUAAUAGGAGGCAAAGAAGGAAUGUCGCUAGUGUAAAGGAAGAUAAGCUUUAACAUACCUUCCAAUCGAGACGUGCAGGAACUUCUGUCCAAAUCGGACUUGACUUUCAAUUCGUGACUUUUCUUGUCUUCCGCAACUGGAAGUUAAAACCCCACCUACAGCGCUACCGCGUUCUCAUUGGAGCUCACUGAUACACGCUCACUGGACACUUUAUUAGGAACAGUACUGGGUACCUCAUAAUGGAGCUCACAAAAGAGAUAAGGCACAACAGUUAAGUAUACUGGAGCAGCAUGACUUCUGUUUUUUCAAUAAAAAAAAAAAACAACAAUAAAAAGAAGUUCACAUGCAUUUCCUUUUUAUUUACCCGAUUGACUAAAGUUUAGUUUUUCUGUAGUAUUGAUGACUGAAGUAGACUCCUUACCUUACAAGAGUUUGUAUGCCUCCAGACAGGUGCUGGCUCAAAUUUAGCCUAUUACCUGAAGACACUUAAACAUAGAAGCAAAUACUCACAUCUGCAAACCCAGUUGGAGAUAGAAAAAUAAGACACCAGCCGUGAGUGAGAAGAAGCAAGGUUCCAGAUUUAUUGGUUCUGUUCCACCACACGAGACCCACACCGAUGAGAAUUCUCAGAAGUGAUCUGACACCUGGAGCUCAAGCUCCAGUAUUUAUACUGUAUUUACACAGUAAAUAACCAAUAUAUUUGGGAAAGACUAUGAUAUCAAUACCAAUAGGGUUAAAAAGAGCUCAUCUACAUUACCAUGAUGUUUAAAAAAAGGCUUAUCAAAUUUACCAUGAUGUUUUGAAAGAGGACUUUCUGACUACCAUUAGGAUUGAAAGUGGGAGAGAGAGAAAACAAUUUAGAGAGACCUUGGUCUCACUAUUGUUGGCUCGAAUUUAGCCUAUUACCCAAAAACAUUUAAAAUUCAACUUAGAAGCCAAUACUCACAUCUACCUCUGAGAUAGAAAAAAUACACCAGCCGUGAGUGAGAAGAAGCAAGGGUCCAGCUUUAUUGUUCCAUUCCACCACACGAGAUCCACACCGAUGAGAAUUCUCAGAAGUGAUCCCAAUACCCUGAGCUUAAGCUCCAGUAUUUAUACUGUAUUUACACACUAGAUAACCCAUAGGUUUCCAGAAAAGGCCUAUUUCACUUACCCAUAGAAUUGAAACCAGGGGUUUUAAUUUACACAUAAAAUCAGAACCCAGGCAUUUCCAAAAACCCAGGAAACAAAAACCCAGAGUUUCUAGUUACCUAGGUUGUCAAAAACCAGGAUUCUCAUUUACCUAGGGGGUCAAAAACCAGGACUUUCAUUUACCUAGGUAGUCAGAAACCAGGAUUCUCAAUUCCCUAGGUAAAAAAAAUGACGUAGACAAGACGACUAAACAACCGGGAGGGACCUUGGUCUUAUCGUUAUCUCGAGGGGGGGCAGUUUGACCCAGCCACCCUUAUAACUGGCUCUCUUCAUGGUUCUCUAAAAAUUAAGGCUUUCCUUGCGAGACGAGAAUCUUCACCAUCUGAAUCAUGAGUGCCGGUGCCCGUCGUCAGUCCCUUCUCUCUCCGUUACUGGACCUGGAUCUGGAUCUGGACCUCCCUUAUGUUUAUUUUAUGACAUUUUUUAUCCACAACACUAUUAUCUCGCGGUUAGGGCAACUUGACUCAGCUACCCUUAUAAUUGGCUCUUCAUGGUUCUCUCUUAAAAUUAAGGCCCUCGUCUACACCACGCCUGACCCUUCCUUGGGAGACAAGAAUCUUCACCAUCUGAAUUAUGAGUGCCCGUCAUUUUUCCUUCUUUCCUUUAUUGGAGGGGCUGGAUUUGGAUCUGAACACUCUAUCAGAUUGCGCGUCUCACAGCUGACAUCGCUGUGUUACUUGACGUUCUUCACACUCCCUCUGGAAAUGGAAAUGCGGGGUUCCCCCCACCUCUCAGAUACAGAAUCCGCCCCGUGAAUGUGUGUAUUGACGCCUCUACACAGACAGACCCUCUGCCUGACCUUCCCUCCAGCUUUCAGUCUGAGGAUGAUAUCGCCUUCUCUGAUCUGGGCUCUGACCAUUCUUCCCUCUUCUCACCGGUCAGUCCGCCGUACUCUCAGUAUUCUCCUUAUUUCACCCUUGCUGUCCCAUGUUGUUAUCCCAUGUCCCCAGGACGCACCCCCUUUUAUCACCCGUUUUCUCCCUACCGCUCCCCUCAGGAUUAUACCCCCACCAGUCCUGUGAAUUUUCAAUAAAAUUACAUGGUGUUCAUACUUAUUUUGUGAACCUCAAUAAACUUACAUGUU